rnacentral:rRNA from 1 species
CGGUCCAGACUCCUACGGGAGGCAGCAGUAGGGAAUCUUCCGCAAUGGGCGAAAGCCUGACGGAGCAACGCCGCGUGAGUGAUGAAGGUCUUCGGAUCGUAAAACUCUGUUGUUAGGGAAGAACAAAUUUGUUAGUAACUGAACAAGUCUUGACGGUACCUAACCAGAAAGCCACGGCUAACUACGUGCCAGCAGCCGCGGUAAUACGUAGGUGGCAAGCGUUAUCCGGAAUUAUUGGGCGUAAAGCGCGCGUAGGCGGUUUCUUAAGUCUGAUGUGAAAGCCCACGGCUCAACCGUGGAGGGUCAUUGGAAACUGGGAAACUUGAGUGCAGAAGAGGAGAGUGGAAUUCCAUGUGUAGCGGUGAAAUGCGCAGAGAUAUGGAGGAACACCAGUGGCGAAGGCGGCUCUCUGGUCUGUAACUGACGCUGAUGUGCGAAAGCGUGGGGAUCAAACAGGAUUAGAUACCCUGGUAGUCCACGCCGUAAACGAUGAGUGCUAAGUGUUAGGGGUUUCCUCCCCUUC